UGCAUAAUUCGCUAAAAAGUAUUUCAAACUAUUUAACAUAUUGGUACUAUGUUUAUACUCUCUACCGCAGCUACUGUAUGAUGUCAUAGCAAUGACGUCACACUCAAGCCAAUCAGCCUUGAGGAGGAUAGACUCGUCGGACUGUAGCGGUUGUAAACAACUUGUCGCCCCGUGUGUCUGCCCGUGGCGCUAGUUAUCUGUCGGAGUUACCACUGACAAUGCCCAAAACAAGAACAACAAAGGCCCAAAGGUGGCUGUUUGGUAGUGCGCAAAGCUGCUGGUGGUGGUGGACGUCUCUGCCCUGACGCGCGGCGUGCGUCUGCUCAGUGUGGAGGUGCCGCUGACAGCGGUGCCGGCCGGACCGGCUGCCUCUCCGGCGGCCGACAUUGAGCGCGGCACGUGUCCGCCGCCGUUCGGGCCGCUGCAGCUGCUGCAGUCGGCGGCGCAGCUGUCCGUCUCCGUGUCGCUGGCCGUGCCGCUGGACCUGCUGCCGCGGCCGGCGCCGGCGCGCUGCGCCUACGGCCGCCUGCUGGCCGUGAGCCGUCGUCUCGCAGCGCGGCCUGCAGCGCAGCGGCGUGCCGCAGCUCAUCCAGCAGCUCAACGAGCCGCCCAGCCCGGCGGCGGCCGAGGGCGCCGCGCCGCGCCGGCCCGGCGACGUCAGCACACCUGGCAUCAGCGGCUUCUGCCUGGCCGACCGUCAGCUGCACCUGCUGUUCGCCGAGGGGCGCGCCGACGCCGAGCUGGAACAGACGGCGGCCGCGCCGCGCGCUCUGCCGCGCCGCGACGCUCGACUCUGCCACCACUCGGGCUUGCUGUUUAGGGAGCGCCUGUACCCGCGCCAGCCGGCCGUGUUCCGCGUGCUCGAGGACCGCCCGCUACGCGCCCAGCUGCUCGACACCCGCCUCUACACGUUACAGAAACAGGAGCCGGCGCGCGCCGUCCGCGCCAUCAGAGAGUGCUUCCGCACGCAGUGGCUGUCGGAAAAUGAACCUGCUUCCCAACGAGGCCGGCCUGCAACAACUGCUGGCCGGCUGUUGGCCGAAAAAAAAACGCUUUCAACCGGAUGUCAGUUGUCAAAUCAACGCGUAGUAAUGCAUUCACUAGGAUGGGCUUACGUAAAGCUGUAGAAUUGCAAAUAUAUAAUGGCACUGUUUUUUA